GCAUAUCAAUAAGCGGAGGAAAAGAAACCAACAGGGAUUGCCUCAGCUAACGGCGAGUGAAGCGGCAAAAGCUCAAAUUUGAAAUCUAGCACCUUCGGUGUUCGAGUUGUAAUUUGAAGAUGGUAACCUUGGGUUUGGCUCUUGUCUAUGUUCCUUGGAACAGGACGUCAUAAAGGGUGAGAAUCCCGUCUGAUGAGAUGCCCAUUCCUAUGUAAGGUGCUAUCGAAGAGUCGAGUUGUUUGGGAAUGCAGCUCUAAGUGGGUGGUAAAUUCCAUCUAAAGCUAAAUAUUGGCGAGAGACCGAUAGCGAACAAGUACAGUGAUGGAAAGAUGAAAAGAACUUUGAAAAGAGAGUGAAAAAGUACGUGAAAUUGUUGAAAGGGAAGGGCAUUAGAUCAGACUUGGUGUUUUACGAUUAUCUUCUCUUCUUGAGUUGUGCACUCGUAUUUCACUGGGCCAGCAUCGAUUCGGAUGGCAAGAUAAUGGCACUUGAAUGUGGCUUCACUUCGGUGGAGUGUUAUAGCUUCUGCUGAUAUUGCCUGUCUGGAUCGAGGGCUGCGUCUUUUGACUAGGAUGCUGGCGUAAUGAUCUAAUGCCGCCCGUCUUGAAACACGGACC
rnacentral:rRNA from 1 species